CCUACGGGUGGCUGCAGUGGGGAAUAUUGGACAAUGGGGGGAACCCUGAUCCAGCCAUGCCGCGUGUGUGAAGAAGGCCCUCGGGUUGUAAAGCACUUUCAGUGAGGAAGAACGCCUGGUGGUUAAUACCCAUCAGGAAAGACAUCACUCACAGAAGAAGCACCGGCUAACUCCGUGCCAGCAGCCGCGGUAAUACGGAGGGUGCGAGCGUUAAUCGGAAUUACUGGGCGUAAAGCGCGCGUAGGUGGCUUGAUAAGCCGGUUGUGAAAGCCCCGGGCUCAACCUGGGAACGGCAUCCGGAACUGUCAAGCUAGAGUGCAGGAGAGGAAGGUAGAAUUCCCGGUGUAGCGGUGAAAUGCGUAGAGAUCGGGAGGAAUACCAGUGGCGAAGGCGGCCUUCUGGACUGACACUGACACUGAGGUGAGAAAGCGUGGGUAGCAAACAGGAUUAGAUACCCGAGUAGUC
rnacentral:rRNA from 1 species